ACCCCCGUAGCUCAGUUGGACAGAGCAACGGAUUUCUAAUCCGUCGGUCGCAGGUUCAAGUCCUGCCGGGGGUGCCA
rnacentral:tRNA from 1 species